rnacentral:lncRNA from 1 species
CAGUUCAUUUAAACUGUAUAUUUCACAAUUUACAGUCUAGUAGGCUAGUAGCAUAUUUGACUGGAAACCAGAAACAACAGUUUGUGUGAUAGAUAGUCAGGUUCAGUGAAACAUUUAAUGCAGAAGGUUGGAGAAGUUUGCACUACAAAGUAGCUAGCAUCAUACUCUUGGCCUAACCACUAAAUCUAAAGUGAUUCAAAUGGGCAGAACCAUUCAACAUUACCAUGUUUGCUGCUUGAAAAUUAAACUCAAACUGCAAUAGUAAAAGUAUUUUACAAAGCAUUUGUAGAUGAAAUUUGGAGAACAAAGUCUUAUUAAUUAUGAACUAAUCUGAAGGAUCCUCUUAUCCAUAAUUUUCAACCAACAUUUUCAAGGCUUGUAUUGUAUGGCAUGG